AUCACAGUGGCUCAGUGUCCUCCUCUGCAAUGCAUGCCUCACCAGACAUGGAGGAUAAGCAGCCCUGCCUUUCAAUACCCAACAGAUGUGAAGUCCCACCUCCUCCGGCUCAGAAGCAAUGGAGUCAGCUCAUAACGGACCAAAGCCUCAGAAACUGCAAGCACAAUGAAUAUUUCUACCUUUAAGCUGUGCCCUUGAGUGUUUUGUUUCAGGAAUGAAAUGCUGACUAGGAUACCAUUGUUCUGAGCUUUGUGUGGAAGCAAACCUAACUCAUUACCCUGUCCUCCUCCAACCAGUUCUGAAGCAACAGCAUUCUGACCCUCAUUUUCCUCACCUGUAAAGGAGGGUGGCUUCCUUCUCUCUCAUAGUCCCACACCAAGGGAAACCGUCUAUGACACAAGCUUGGUAUAAGCCCACUCUUCUAAAAUAUUCAGUCAGACCGGGGAAGUAGCUCCUGCAGGUUGGCUGCUUGGGAUCUCUCUUCAAGCAACAUUUGCUGCAUCUCUCGCACAUGGAUUUGCUUAUUACCUGAGUAUCCCUUCUCAAGGUUAUUGCAAAUAUGUGACAUUGCUUUGACUCAAUGUAGCAUCCCAGGGUCAAAAUUUCAAAGUAAAAUCUCUCAGUAAAUGACUUGCAGUGAUAUACACGCAAGCUAUUGUGAACAUGCUUCAGUAUCUGCUCCAAAAAAUCUGUAAAAAUCUAACAGAUGUGCACACAAAAGCACACUUGCUGGGGACUCCUGGAGAUGACGCUUGUCGUUUACCCGAGUGAUAAUACAAUGAGAUAACAGAACAAGGUCCUUCCCCAGCAAUGAAUAGAAACCCAUUUACUAAGCAUCCAGGAAAUAGGCACAAAUGAUUUUCUGUUGGAGACACGACAUUCUAGGGAUAUUCACCAAGGGUCACAACAAUAUGUAUGUCAGAAAGAUCAUGAAAAGCAGCACCUAUUGUUGAAGAAACUGGUGGGUUUCUUUUUCUUCAAUGUGUGUUACAAAAGUCAGCUAAUUGUAGUUGUGUGGAUUUAUACUUGGCUUAUCUACUCUCUUACAUUGAUAUGUGUGUCUCUUUUUUGCUGGUACCAUGCUGUUUUCAUUACUAUGGCUCUGUAAUAUAACUUGAAAUCAGGUAUUGUGAGACUUUUGAGAGUCUUCCUAUUAUUCGGAAUUACUCUGGAUAUCUGAGGUGCUUUGGGCAUGCAUAUGAAUUUUAAGUUUUUUUUUUUUCUGUAAAGAACUGAGUUGGCACUGUGAUUGAGAUUGCAUUGAAAUUGUAGAUUGCUUUU
rnacentral:lncRNA from 1 species